rnacentral:tRNA from 1 species
UGGUUUAGUAGUAGAAUUCUUGUUUACUAGACAGGAGACCUGGGUUUGAUUCCCAG